UACGGGGGGGGCAAGCGUUGUUCGGAAUUACUGGGCGUAAAGGGCUCGUAGGCGGCCAACUAAGUCAGACGUGAAAUCCCUCGGCUUAACCGGGGAACUGCAUCUGAUACUGGAUGGCUUGAGUUCGGGAGAGGGAUGCGGAAUUCCCAGUGUAGAGGUGAAAUUCGUAGAUAUUGGGAAGAACACCGGUGGCGAAGGCGGCUAUCUGGACCGACAUUGACGCUGAGGCGCGAAAGCGUGGGGAGCAAACAGG
rnacentral:rRNA from 1 species